rnacentral:rRNA from 1 species
GACGAACGCUGGCGGCGUGCUUAACACAUGCAAGUCGAACGGAGUGGCGAACGGGUGAGUGACACGUGGGUGACCUGCCCUGCACUUCGGGAUAAACCUGGGAAAAUGGGUCUAAUACCGGAUAGUGUGGGAUGGGCGCGGGGCCAAUCAGCUUGUUGGUGGGGUAAUGGACAGCCAAGGCGGCGACGGGUAGCCCGCCUGAGAGGGUGGACGGCCACAAGGGGACUGAGACACGGACCAGAGUGCUACGGGAGGCAGCAGUGGGGAAUAUUGCAGAAUGAGCGGGAGCGUGAGGCAGCGGCGUCGCGUGGGGGAUGACGGCCUGCGGGUGGUAAACUACUUUCACCAUCGACGCGGUAGAUGGAGAAGAAGCACCGGCUAACUACGUGCCAGCAGCCGCGGUAAUAC